rnacentral:rRNA from 1 species
UACGUAGGGUGCAAGCGUUGUCCGGAAUUAUUGGGCGUAAAGAGCUCGUAGGCGGUUUGUCGCGUCGACUGUGAAAACCCGAGGCUUAACCUCGGGCCUGCAGUCGAUACGGGCAGACUAGAGUUCGGUAGGGGAGACUGGAAUUCCUGGUGUAGCGGUGAAAUGCGCAGAUAUCAGGAGGAACACCGGUGGCGAAGGCGGGUCUCUGGGCCGAUAUUGACGCUGAGGAGCGAAAGCGUGGGGAGCGAACAGG